AAAACAAAAUUAAAAUUACCUAAUUUAAUAGCAAUAUAUAGAUUAAAAUAAGACCAAAUUGAUAACACUAAAUUUCAAGGCUGCUAAAAGUCGAAUCUUAUAGAAAUAUUAUAAUAUAUGCCUAGUUUCCGAGUAUAAAUAAUUAUUCACAUAAUUUCAGAGAACAAAUAAUUAUAACAUUGAUAAGGAUUUUAAUAGGCAAAAUUAACCAAACCCACAAUUGAGGUCAAGAUGUGGUGUAUAAGGUGGCUAAUGGUUUAGAAAUAGAAGCUAGUGAAGCUAAGACUUUUCCAAGGUGCACAUGCGGAUAAGAAGGUCCCAAAAGACAAAAAUUGUUAGAUAUCAAAUUGCUGGCUAAUGGACACAUCUGUGGAAAAUUUUUGCUAUUGAUUUAGCAGUUUCUAAGGACUGAUUGAGCAGCCAAUGGAAAUAUAGAGCUCAUUUUCUCUAUAAAUAGGUAGGAGUAGUUACUGGAGUAGGCAAAUACAAUUGGAGUCCCUUAAUUCCCUUAAUUUAGUUCUCCAUAGUUUCUUUAAGGAUGGUAAGUUCCUAUGUAAUUGGCAAAUGCUCUUCCACACUCUCCUUAACACUACUCAUUGGUUUGCUACUGGCUAGCCUUGAUACAACAGGUACAGUACUUGCAGCUCUUUCUGAUUAUUUUAUUUUAUUUUAAGGGGCCAAAAUGUCAAUUCUACAUCAUUAGAUUAAUCUGUAUUUUUCUAAUUAUACUCAUCUAAUACUUUUAUUAUUAUUUAAUAGAUGGACACAUAUAAACUUGAGAUUUAAUAUUUUCUGCGAGUAGAGAGAUUAAUCAAAUUAUGCCUGAUUUGUAGUAAAAUUUUACUUUAACCCUAAAAAUUUGAACGCACUAUUACAAUCCAUGUUAUUCCUGUUUAUAAAUUAUGACUAAUGUAUUGGUUGCUAACACUUGAUGCAGG
rnacentral:misc_RNA from 1 species